rnacentral:rRNA from 1 species
UACGUAGGGUGCAAGCGUUGUCCGGAAUUAUUGGGCGUAAAGAGCUCGUAGGCGGUUUGUCGCGUCUGCUGUGAAAACCCGAGGCUCAACCUCGGGCCUGCAGUGGGUACGGGCAGACUAGAGUGCGGUAGGGGAGAUUGGAAUUCCUGGUGUAGCGGUGGAAUGCGCGGAUAUCAGGAGGAACACCGGUGGCGAAGGCGGAUCUCUGGGCCGAUACUGACGCUGAGGAGCGAAAGCGUGGGGAGCGAACAGG